rnacentral:tRNA from 1 species
GGCUUCGUAGUUCAGUUGGUUAGAAUGAUAGCCUGUCACGCUAUAGGUCACGGGUUCGAAUCCCGUCGAAGUCG